UCUCUCUCUCUCCUCACAGGUCUUCAUUUCAGUCUACUGGGGAACCUAGAGGCCAGAGAUUGCGACCUGGGCUUCAUAGCCAAAGGGAGAACACUGUGUGUUGAUAUAGAUGAGUGUAAAGAGUUGGACAGCACCCCACCCUGUGGAAGUAAUACCACGUGUUACAACACACAGGGGAGCUUCUACUGUCAGUGUCUACCUGGGUUUGUAUCCACAACGACUUUCAAGUUUACUCCUCUCACUGGGGAUUGUAAGGACCUCAAUGAGUGCCAGGGGAAACUACAGGUUUGUACCAGCAACGCCAUUUGCCUCAACACAAUCGGGAGGCUUCAACUGCCAAUGCGAACCUGGUUUCAGAUUCUCUGCUUAUGCUGGACACCGUGAAGACCUCGAUGAGUGCCAGGAGACACCUCAGGUUUGUGGCAGCAACACCAGUUGCCUCAACACCUUCGGGAGCUACCACUCCAGUGCCAACCUGGGUUCAGAAUCUCUAAUCACACUGUGAAGGACUGAUGGAAUGUCCAAUUAUCAAGUUUUGCUUGAUGAGUUU